AAUGAACGCUGGCGGCAUGCCUAAUACAUGCAAGUCGAGCGAACAGACGGGGCGUUUUCUCGUCUGACGUUGGCGGCGGACGGGUGAUGCCCACGUGUAUGACCUACCUAUGAGACUGGGAUACCUUCACGAGACCGGAUCUACUACCCGAAAAUAUAUUGAACCGGAUGGUUCAAUAGUGAAAGCCGGUUUUGCUGUGACUAAUAGAUGUAUCCGGGCCGCAUUAGCUAGUUGGUAAGGUGGCGGCUUACCAAGGCUACGAUGCGUAGCCGACCUGAGAGGGUGAUCCGUCACACGGGAACUGAGACACGGCAGAGACUCCUACGGGAGGCAGCAGUAGGGAAUCUUACGCAAUGGGCGAAAGCCUGAUGGAGCAAAGCCGCGUGAGUGAUGAAGGACUUAGGAUGGUAAAGCUAUGUAAGUAGGGAGGAAGAAAAGUGUAUUUAACCAGGAUGGUAUUGACGGUACCGGGAGAAUAAGCACCGGCUAACUCCGUG
rnacentral:rRNA from 1 species